AACGUAGGUGGCAAGCGUUAUCCGGAUUUACUGGGCGUAAAGCAUGUGCAGACGGGUUGGUAAGUGGUGUAUGAAAGCGUCCGGCUUAACCGGGCAAGCGUAUGCCAAACUGCUUCGCUUGAGACCAGGAGAGGUGAGUGGAAUUCCCAGUGUAGCGGUGAAAUGCGUAGAUAUUGGGAGGAACACCAGUGGCGAAGGCGGCUCACUGGACUGGUACUGACGCUGAGGCGCGAAAGCGUGGGGAGCAAACGGG
rnacentral:rRNA from 1 species